ACUACAUGAUGAUCAUCUGAAUUUGCAAUUCCGACAAUCACCAAUCAAUGUGAGAUUGGAUGUUGACUCCUACACUUGAUCUGACC
rnacentral:snoRNA from 1 species